rnacentral:rRNA from 1 species
GUUGGCCUACGGGACGCAGCAGUGAGGAAUAUUGGUCAAUGGCCGAGAGGCUGAACCAGCCAAGUCGCGUGAGGGAAGAAUGUCCUAUGGAUUGUAAACCUCUUUUGUCAGGGAGCAAAGUCACCCACGUGUGGGUGUUGGAGAGUACCUGAAGAAAAAGCAUCGGCUAACUCCGUGCCAGCAGCCGCGGUAAUACGGAGGAUGCGAGCGUUAUCCGGAUUUAUUGGGUUUAAAGGGUGCGUAGGCGGGUUAUCAAGUCAGCGGUAAAAUCGCGGAGCUCGACUCCAUCCAGCCGUUGAAACUGG